GAUGAACGCUGGCGGCGUGCCUAAUACAUGCAAGUCGAGCGAACGGACGAGAAGCUUGCUUCUCUGAUGUUAGCGGCGGACGGGUGAGUAACACGUGGAUAACCUACCUAUAAGACUGGGAUAACUUCGGGAAACCGGAGCUAAUACCGGAUAAUAUUUUGAACCGCAUGGUUCAAAAGUGAAAGACGGUCUUGCUGUCACUUAUAGAUGGAUCCGCGCUGCAUUAGCUAGUUGGUAAGGUAACGGCUUACCAAGGCAACGAUGCAUAGCCGACCUGAGAGGGUGGUCGGCCACACUGGAACUGAGACACGGUACAGACUCCUACGGGAGGCAGCAGUAGGGAAUCUUCCGCAAUGGGCGAAAGCCUGACGGAGCAACGCCGCGUGAGUGAUGAAGGUCUUCGGAUCGUAAAACUCUGUUAUUAGGGAAGAACAUAUGUGUAAGUAACUGUGCACAUCUUGACGGUACCUAAUCAGAAAGCCACGGCUAACUACGUG
rnacentral:rRNA from 1 species